rnacentral:rRNA from 1 species
UACGGAGGGUGCAAGCGUUAUCCGGAUUCACUGGGUUUAAAGGGAGCGUAGGUGGGCUGGUAAGUCAGUGGUGAAAUCUCCGGGCUUAACUCGGAAACUGCCGUUGAUACUAUCAGUCUUGAAUAUUGUGGAGGUAAGCGGAAUAUGUCAUGUAGCGGUGAAAUGCGUAGAUAUAGGGAAGAACACCAAUCAGGCGAAGGCAGUUAACUAUUCUAUUCCUGACAUUGAGGCAUGAAAGCGUGGGGAGCAAAACGG